CCUACGGGAGGCAGCAGUGGGGAAUAUUGCGCAAUGGGCGAAAGCCUGACGCAGCGACGCCGCGUGGGGGAUGAAGGUCUUCGGAUCGUAAACCUCUGUCAGCAGGGAAGAACGGUCACUGUGCUAAUCAGCAGUGAAUUGACGGUACCUGCACAGGAAGCACCGGCUAACUCCGUGCCAGCAGCCGCGGUAAUACGGAGGGUGCGAGCGUUAAGCGGAAUUACUGGGCGUAAAGCGCUCGUAGGCGGUCUGUCAAGUCAAGGGUGAAAGCCCCGCGCUCAACGUGGGAACUGCAUUUGAAACUGGGAAACUGGAGUGUGUGAGAGGAGAGUGGAAUUCCAGGUGUAGGAGUGAAAUCCGUAGAUAUCUGGAGGAACAUCAGUGGCGAAGGCGACUAUCUGGCACAUAACUGACGCUGAGGAGCGAAAGCGUGGGUAGCAAACAGGAUUAGAUACCCUUGUAGUC
rnacentral:rRNA from 1 species